rnacentral:rRNA from 1 species
AACCGGAUUAGAUACCCUGGUAGUCCAUGUCGUAAACGAUGAGUGCUAAGUGUUGGAGGGUUUCCGCCCUUCAGUGCUGCAGCUAACGCAUUAAGCACUCCGCCUGGGGAGUACGACCGCAAGGUUGAAACUCAAAGGAAUUGACGGGGGCCCGCACAAGCGGUGGAGCAUGUGGUUUAAUUCGAUGCUACGCGAAGAACCUUACCAGGUCUUGACAUCUUCUGCCAACCUAAGAGAUUAGGCGUUCCCUUCGGGGAUAGAAUGACAGGUGGUGCAUGGUUGUCGUCAGCUCGUGUCGUGAGAUGUUGGGUUAAGUCCCGCAACGAGCGCAACCCUUAUUGUUAGUUGCCAGCAUUUAGUUGGGCACUCUAGCAAGACUGCCGGUGACAAACCGGAGGAAGGUGGGGAUGACGUCAAAUCAUCAUGCCCCUUAUGACCUGGGCUACACACGUGCUACAAUGGACGGUACAACGAGUCGCGAAACCGCGAGGUCAAGCUAAUCUCUUAAAGCCGUUCUCAGUUCGGAUUGUAGGCUGCAACUCGCCUACAUGAAGUUGGAAUCGCUAGUAAUCGUGGAUCAGCAUGCCACGGUGAAUACGUUCCCGGGCCUUGUACACACCGCCCGUCACACCAUGAGAGUUUGUAACACCCAAAGCCGGUGAGGUAACCUUCGGGAACCNACCGUCUAAGGUGGGACAGAUGAUUAGGGGUGAAGUCGUAACAAGGUAACC